AACGUGGAAGCUUGGGAGAUUUGAUCGCAGAAGGCUGAGAUGUAGAUGAGAUGCUAAUCCGGAAGCAGUGGACGCUCGCAAACGGAAUGCGGAGAUGGAGCCGGCUCGCGGACAGUUGGUCGUAGGAGGAUCGGACUGCUGGCGCUUGGAUGGAGUUGCUCGCGAACGGCUAUCUGGCAGACAUCCGGAUGCGCGAAUCUGCAGAAGGCUGAAGAUCGUGGGAUGCUGGAAUCGCGGGAUGCCGGGUGGAUGCUUCGCGAUUCUUCCACGCGGGCGGAUGGGCUGCACACGGCUCAGAUGCUUGGGC
rnacentral:lncRNA from 1 species